AUUGAACGCUGGCGGCAGGCCUAACACAUGCAAGUCGAGCGGUAACACAGGGAGCUUGCUCCCGGGUGACGAGCGGCGGACGGGUGAGUAAUGUCUGGGAAACUGCCUGAUGGAGGGGGAUAACUACUGGAAACGGUAGCUAAUACCGCAUAACGUCGCAAGACCAAAGAGGGGGACCUUCGGGCCUCUUGCCAUCAGAUGUGCACAGAUGGGAUUAGCUAGUAGGUGGGGUAAUGGCUCACCUAGGCGACGAUCCCUAGCUGGUCUGAGAGGAUGACCAGCCAUGCUGGAACUGAGACACGGUCCAGACUCCUACGGGAGGCAGCAGUGGGGAAUAUUGCACAAUGGGCGCAAGCCUGAUGCAGCCAUGCCGGGUGUAUGAAGAAGGCCUUCGGGUUGUAAAGUACUUUCAGCGGGGAGGAAGGUGCUGAGGUUAAUAACCUCAGCAAUUGACGUUACCCGCAGAAGAAGCACCGGCUAACUCCGUGCCAGCCGCCGCCGUAAAAC
rnacentral:rRNA from 1 species